UUUGCCAACUCGACCUGAUUUGUCUGGACCGAACCGAACAGAAAAUAACCGACAUGUUUUAAUAAUUUUCGGUUUCGGAAUUUUCACUCGAUUUCCAAUUUUAAUCGGUUGUAAUUGAGUAAUUACCCAUUAACCGAAGUUUAAUUUUACCCACAUCUAAAUCCACCAGUCUCUCCCUCUCGUUGACACCUCUCUCUCUCUCUCUCUCUCUCUCUCGCACACCGAUCCCCAAACACCACACAAAGGAGGAGAGUUCUUAAUUUCUCAAGAAAUCCCUAAAACCUUCUCUGAUUUCCAACUCCAUUACUCUUGCAUUAAAACACUUCCUUUAGCCAUGGACGCUCAGAGAUCUUUGCUAUAUGAACAUAUGUGUGCAAGAGUGCAGCAACUCGUAAUUUGACGGAAGAAGAGACGAAGGGAUUCAAGGAGAUUAACUGGGAUGCAAGGAGGUUUGUGCUUGCUAAUUGAUGGAGGAAGAGAAAAAUGAUUCAAGGAGAUUAAUUGGGAUGCAAGGAAGCUUGUGCUUGCUAAUUGACGGAGGAAGAGAGAAAGGAUUCAAGGAGAUUUAUUUUGCCUGGGUUUUUAUCAAAUAAUUAUGUUUGGUUUGAGAUUUUGUUUGUUUGCUAAGAAAACAACGAAAAAUAAAAUAUUUCUUCUUUCUAGCCCCUCAUCCCCCCACCCCCCAAUUUGGUUUGUAAAAUUCGAUUCUUUCGGAAUGUAUUUUCGGUUUCGGUUGCUUGGCUAAUUCAGACGGUUCAAAAAUA